CAGGAGGGCAAGGAGACGCUCCGACACCAGGGCCGCAACAAGAGCCACUCCAGUGCUCCCACCGCUUCUAGUCACGCCACGAAGGUGAGAUCAGUGAGCUGAAGAAAAAGGAGACGCUACUCUCAGCGACCCCGCCGCCGCCGCUGCUCCCGAGGCCUCACCAAAAUGGCCGCCGCCGUCUCGGCCGCCACCGCCACUACCACCACCACUACCACCACCACCAAGGCUCGUUAUCGCUACCGCCAGAGCGGCCCGUCUUCUCGCGAUACACAGUAACUGGAGGCUGGAGGGGCGGGUAGGCUCGCGUGCUAGCGUAGGACAGUGGGGCGCAAAGCAAGUUGGGAGUUGUAGUUCGCUCCAUGGCUCCAUGCUGGCCCAGCAUGCUUCAAUGGGUCUGACACUCCUGCUACAUUGCAGCUGCCCGCUGGGACCGCCCUUUGGGUUUAGGAAGGUUUUGUUUUUUGGUUUUUUUUCAGGGCUACUUGUUUCACACGGAUUUGGAAGUUUUUAUUUUUGCAGAUCACCGAGUGAAAUGAAACAAAUGAAUAGUAGAGCCUAGAUCUCCUGAUUCCCAAAGCAGUUACUUUUUUUGUUUGUUUUUGAAAGGCCAUGUCUCACAAUGUAGCUUUGGCUGACCUGGACUCACUAUGUAGAUCAAACUAACCUUACUUACAUUUACAAAAAUGCUCCUGCAUCUUCCUGGGAUUAACGUGUGCACCACCACUACCAGCUGCAACUUUGUAGCAUUGGUUUCCAAAGAGCUCCCAAACAUCUUGCCAAUGGUUUACAGUCUUUUAUAUUAAUAACUAUUUUGAGAGGUUGGGAACAUAGCUCAGUGACUAAGAAUAUUGGGUGCUUCCUCUUCCAGAGAACCCACAUUCUAUCUCCAGAAUAAAGAAGCUCCUGCUCUUUAACUCCAGUUCCAAGGAAUCUGACACCCUCUUCUGGCCUCAGGGAGCAAUGCACAAACAUGGUGCACAGAUAUACACGAAGGUAAAACGCCCAUUCACAUUAAAUAAAAAUCCUUAAGGAAAAAAAAAAAAAGCUGGAUGGUCACCAUUGGGAUUAAAGAUCACAAUGGCCUUUAAUCCAAAGUAGGGCAGAUGAAUCUCUGAUUUCUAGGGCAGCCAAGGCUACAGAGAAAAAUUCCUGUGUCUAGGGGAAAAAAAAAAUCCCUUCCAGAAUCUAAUACUCCUUCCCCAUUUUAAUGCAUUUAUUAUCUGCAACGGUUCCAAAGAAGAUCUUAAGCCCUUGGUUACAUAGCAAGAUCCUACCCCAAACAUAACUAAUAAUUAAGAAAACAGGUGGGAUAAAAUAAAAAUAAAUCAGAGAUGGACAGGGGAGAAGCCAUUGUGGGGAAAUGGAAGUUGAAUAGAGACUGAAAGAAAGAUUCUUUACAGCUAGGUAUGAUAGCAUAUACACACAAUCCCAAUUUACUGGUAGAGGCCAGCCUUCUUCGAUGUUGAAUAACUCAGUACACACACACACAGAUUCUAAAGUUCAAGAUUGUCCUGUCUUUUAAAAGGACAUGCAUAUAGUCUUGUAGAAACUAUGUGUUGCUUCUUUUCACUUUAGGACUUUAAAGUUGUGUGUUUGUGUUUAAAUAAUUACAGAUGUAGGGCUAGAGAGAUAGUUUAAGUGGUUAAGAACACUGGCUACUCUUCCUUAGAAUCCAGGGUUUGAUUCUCGAACCCACAUGGAAGCUUUUAACAGUUUCUAACUUUAGUAUUAAGGGAAUUGAAACCUUCUAGCACAGAGACAAAAAUUCAGGCAUAAAAUAAAGAUAAAUUCUAAAAUUACAGGGGUAAUAAAUAUUUGCUUUUGUAAAAAUAAAUCUAAUGUGAACUAUCAAAGGAUCAUCUGCAAAACAAACUUCCCCACAUGUUCUCAGUACCCUGCCUAGAGUGCCCUACCCAGAAGUAAUCAGUGUUGAGUCCCCUAUAUCUAAAUGAUACCAUACUAUAAAUUGUUUUAUUUUUCUUUACACUUUGGCAAUUUAUAGUUGUUUUACAUCUUGCCUUUUCAGGCUUAUAAUAUCUGGAAAGAUAUUAAUAAAGAUAACGAUAGGGCCAGGUGUGGUGGCCACUUUCACUACAGUGCUCAGUGGCAUUAGCAGGGAAAAUCUUGAAUUCAAGUCCAAGCUUUUUUACAUAGUGAGACCCUAUCUUUUUAUGUCCAGUCCUUACCACCCCACUUGUUCCUGUAUUCCACCCCCCACAAAGAAAGAAAGGAAGGAAGAAAAGAUAAAUAGUAAGAAAGAAAAGAAAGGAAAAGAAAGAGAGAAAGGAGAAAUGUAGGUACUGGAAGAGAGAUGACUCAGCAGUUAAGAGCACUGGCUGGCUCAGGCUAGGACCUGACUUUAUUGAGUUCCCAGGACCAACAAGACAUCUUGCAAACAUCUUACCUCUGUGCCACUGCACAUAGUGCACAGACAUACAUACAUACAGGCAAAACACACCCAUGCAUAUUUAAAAUAUAUUUUAAUAUUUUUAAAAUGUUGGGUAUGGUGAUGAACAACUUUAAUUUCAAACAUUCAGAAGGCAGAAACAGAUAUCUGUGAGUUCAAGGCCAGUCUGGUCCACAUAGUUCUGUUUCAAAACACCAAAGUAAUAAUAAAAAAUAAAUGUAUGCUAAGCUUUAUUUCACUCUAGAAUAGCUAAAAGCUGAGUAAGGUGCUGGGUGCCUAUAGUCCCAGGAAUUAAGGAAUCUAAGAAAAGAAAAUUGUAAGAGCAAGAUCAGCAUGGGGAAUGGUUCAGUGGAUACAAAUGCUAGCCACUUGAGCUACAUCCAAAGAACUCUUACUUAAAAAAAAACAAACAAACCUAGCUUCAGCGAUACACAUCUGUAAUUCCAGAACUCCUACCAGCAACAUUGAAAAAUUACUCCCAGGCCAGCUAGAAUGGAGCACAAGAACAACAACAGGAAUGAGCCUGCCUCAGAACAAGGUUAAAAGAAAAUCAGCUCCCAAGACACUGUCCUUUAAGCUUCACAUUCGUGCCCUGAUGCAAGUACACCCCCUUCUCAAGACCAGACUGGCUUGGACUAUAUAGCCAUACUUUAUCUCAAAUAAAUACUAGAUAGAUGUGUAAUAGUGAAUUCUAGGUCAGCCAGAACCACUUAGACUCUAUCUUGAAAAACAACAAAAAUAUCUUUCUGGGUCUUGCUGUGUAGCCCAAACAAGCCUAAAGGCUAGUGGCAAGGUUCAGCAAGGGUGUGAUUUGAAUUCACAUUACUGAGUGGGAGGAAAAAAAAGUAGGGGCCAGGUCCAAUCCCCAGAACCCAUGUACAUGUAAAAAGAGAAACCAACUCCCAAAAGUCCAUGUGUAUACCUUUGCCUUCCAAGACAGUAACUUCAACAGGUGGCUGAAGAGAUCGUUCAGUAGUCAAGAGCACUUGUUGCUCUUGUAGAGGACCUGGGCUUGGUUCCAAGUACCUACAUGAUGACUGACAUCUUUCAUAAUACCAGUUCCAGGGGAUCCAAACCCCCUUUUUGGUUUCCUCUGCCACCAGGCAUGCACAUGGUACACAUACAUACAGGUAAAACAUUAAUAUUCAUGUAAGAAUUUUACAAAUUAGGGGCUCAGUGAGUAAACAUAUUUGCCACUAAACCUGACAUGAAUUUGAUGCCGAAACUCACAAAGUAGAAGGCGAAUAAGGGUCUCUAUUUCAGUUGGUAGAGUGCUUGCCCAACAUUUGUGAAGCCUUGGGUUCAGUUCUUAGUGUCAUUUUAAAACAGAUGUGAUGGCGUACACCAUCAUUCUGGAGGAGGUGGCAGGAAGAUAAAAAGUUCAGGGUUAUCUAGCAACUCUUGAGACUUGCAUGGGCUAUAUGAAAUUCUGCUAAAAAAAAAAAAUAACUAGCCCAGUUGGUAGUGUGUUUGCAUUGUGGCACAAAGUCUUUGGUUGGCUGUCAGCAUUACAUAAAACUUGCUAUGAAAGAUAAUAAUCCCAGUACCUGAAGAUUGAGGAAAGAUGAUCUCAUGAGGCAACUCUGGUCUAUAUAGUGAAUUCCCAACCAAUUAGGUAUAUACGGUGAGACCCUUCUCAAAACACACACACACACACACACACACACAAUACCACAAAAACAUGGAGGGGGUUGUGUGUGUUUCAGUUGGUAGUGUGCUUGCUUCAACUGGAAGUGAUAAUCCUAACACCAGGGAGGUAGACACAGGAGGAUCAGUGUUCAGGGUUAUUCUUGACCACAUCACAAGUUUGAGGACAGCCUGAACUUAAAAUAAACCCUGAGAACUGUGAUUCUGUAAUUCUAGUACUUAGGAGUUCAAGGCUAGCCUGGGCUGUAUAGUUUCUGGCCAGAAUUGGCUAAGGUAACAAAAUACCUGUAAUCCCAGCAAAUGGGAGGUAGAGCUUUGAGGAUCAGGAGUUAAGCGUUAUCUGAGCUUCCCAGUGAGUAGAGACCAACCUGGGUUGUAUGGGAUCUUGUUUCAGCUCUACUCAAAACCAACAACAAAAGAUGCCAGGGGGUGACAGUAGUCCACAAGCCAGCUUUCAUGGUCUUUUGCAAACAGCACAGAUGAUUGAUCAAGAUGGUGGCUGUUUGCCUUGGAGGAUAGUCCUGUACAGAGUCAAUGUAUAUGGGGCUGGAGAAGGCAGCUUAAUGGUUAAGAGAACCUCCUGUCUCUCCAGAGGACCCCAGUUCUGUUCCCUGCACCCACAUGGCAGCUCACACACCUGCCUUUAGCUCCAGUGUCAGAGGAUCUGAUGCCCUCUUCUGGCUUCCUUUGGGCCUAAGGCAUUUCUGUGGUGCACAAACAUGUAGGCAGGCAAAACAUACAUAAAAGAGAAAAAUAGAAGAAACAUGAGCAUAUAUCUUUAAUGUCUAAAUAUAUCUGUAAUAUAUUUUCUUCAUAUAUAUAAUGCUUAUAAUGACAUUUAAUAUUGUUAACAUUGCUUUAUACUUGUGUUUUUUUCAAUGUUGGAUUAGACCCAGG
ensembl:lncRNA